AGCGUACACGGUGGAUGCCCUGGCAGUCAGAGGCGAUGAAGGACGUGCUAAUCUGCGAUAAGCGUCGGUGAGGUGAUAUGAACCGUUAUAACCGGCGAUUUCCGAAUGGGGAAACCCAGUGUGUUUCGACACACUAUCAUUAACUGAAUCCAUAGGUUAAUGAGGCGAACCGGGGGAACUGAAACAUCUAAGUACCCCGAGGAAAAGAAAUCAACCGAGAUUCCCCCAGUAGCGGCGAGCGAACGGGGAGGAGCCCAGAGCCUGAAUCAGUGUGUGUGUUAGUGGAAGCGUCUGGAAAGGCGUGCGAUACAGGGUGACAGCCCCGUACACAAAAAUGCACAUGCUGUGAGCUCGAUGAGUAGGGCGGGACACGUGGUAUCCUGUCUGAAUAUGGGGGGACCAUCCUCCAAGGCUAAAUACUCCUGACUGACCGAUAGUGAACCAGUACCGUGAGGGAAAGGCGAAAAGAACCCCGGCGAGGGGAGUGAAAAAGAACCUGAAACCGUGUACGUACAAGCAGUGGGAGCCUCUUAAUGGGGUGACUGCGUACCUUUUGUAUAAUGGGUCAGCGACUUAUAUUCUGUAGCAAGGUUAACCGAAUAGGGGAGCCGAAGGGAAACCGAGUCUUAACUGGGCGUUAAGUUGCAGGGUAUAGACCCGAAACCCGGUGAUCUAGCCAUGGGCAGGUUGAAGGUUGGGUAACACUAACUGGAGGACCGAACCGACUAAUGUUGAAAAAUUAGCGGAUGACUUGUGGCUGGGGGUGAAAGGCCAAUCAAACCGGGAGAUAGCUGGUUCUCCCCGAAAGCUAUUUAGGUAGCGCCUCGUGAAUUCAUCUCCGGGGGUAGAGCACUGUUUCGGCAAGGGGGUCAUCCCGACUUACCAACCCGAUGCAAACUGCGAAUACCGGAGAAUGUUAUCACGGGAGACACACGGCGGGUGCUAACGUCCGUCGUGAAGAGGGAAACAACCCAGACCGCCAGCUAAGGUCCCAAAGUCAUGGUUAAGUGGGAAACGAUGUGGGAAGGCCCAGACAGCCAGGAUGUUGGCUUAGAAGCAGCCAUCAUUUAAAGAAAGCGUAAUAGCUCACUGGUCGAGUCGGCCUGCGCGGAAGAUGUAACGGGGCUAAACCAUGCACCGAAGCUGCGGCAGCGACACUAUGUGUUGUUGGGUAGGGGAGCGUUCUGUAAGCCUGUGAAGGUGGCCUGUGAGGGUUGCUGGAGGUAUCAGAAGUGCGAAUGCUGACAUAAGUAACGAUAAAGCGGGUGAAAAGCCCGCUCGCCGGAAGACCAAGGGUUCCUGUCCAACGUUAAUCGGGGCAGGGUGAGUCGACCCCUAAGGCGAGGCCGAAAGGCGUAGUCGAUGGGAAACAGGUUAAUAUUCCUGUACUUGGUGUUACUGCGAAGGGGGGACGGAGAAGGCUAUGUUGGCCGGGCGACGGUUGUCCCGGUUUAAGCGUGUAGGCUGGUUUUCCAGGCAAAUCCGGAAAACCAAGGCUGAGGCGUGAUGACGAGGCACUACGGUGCUGAAGCGACAAAUGCCCUGCUUCCAGGAAAAGCCUCUAAGCAUCAGGUAACAUCAAAUCGUACCCCAAACCGACACAGGUGGUCAGGUAGAGAAUACCAAGGCGCUUGAGAGAACUCGGGUGAAGGAACUAGGCAAAAUGGUGCCGUAACUUCGGGAGAAGGCACGCUGAUAUGUAGGUGAAGCGACUUGCUCGUGGAGCUGAAAUCAGUCGAAGAUACCAGCUGGCUGCAACUGUUUAUUAAAAACACAGCACUGUGCAAACACGAAAGUGGACGUAUACGGUGUGACGCCUGCCCGGUGCCGGAAGGUUAAUUGAUGGGGUUAGCGGCAACGCGAAGCUCUUGAUCGAAGCCCCGGUAAACGGCGGCCGUAACUAUAACGGUCCUAAGGUAGCGAAAUUCCUUGUCGGGUAAGUUCCGACCUGCACGAAUGGCGUAAUGAUGGCCAGGCUGUCUCCACCCGAGACUCAGUGAAAUUGAACUCGCUGUGAAGAUGCAGUGUACCCGCGGCAAGACGGAAAGACCCCGUGAACCUUUACUAUAGCUUGACACUGAACAUUGAGCCUUGAUGUGUAGGAUAGGUGGGAGGCUUUGAAGUGUGGACGCCAGUCUGCAUGGAGCCGACCUUGAAAUACCACCCUUUAAUGUUUGAUGUUCUAACGU
rnacentral:rRNA from 1 species